rnacentral:rRNA from 1 species
UACAGAGGGUGCAAGCGUUAAUCGGAAUUACUGGGCGUAAAGCGCACGUAGGCGGUUUUUUAAGUCAGAUGUGAAAGCCCCCGGGCUCAACCUGGGAAUUGCAUUUGAAACUGGGGAACUAGAGUGUGUGAGAGGGGGGUAGAAUUCCAAGUGUAGCGGUGAAAUGCGUAGAGAUUUGGAGGAAUACCAGUGGCGAAGGCGGCCCCCUGGCACAACACUGACGCUCAGGUGCGAAAGCGUGGGGAGCAAACAGGAUUAGGAUACCCGGGUAGU